UUCUUGGUCAUUUAGAGGAAGUAAAAGUCGUAACAAGGUUUCCGUAGGUGAACCUGCGGAAGGAUCAUUACAGAAAGUAAACGCGGAUCAAACCGCGAACUUCUAAACCUUUGACGAUUGACUCAUGUUGCCUCGGCGGGUUCUUCCGCCAGAGGAUACAUCAAAACUCCUGUUUUAACGGUGUUGUCUGAGCUGCAAGCAACGAAUCAAAACUUUCAACAACGGAUCUCUUGGUUCUGGCAUCGAUGAAGAACGCAGCGAAAUGCGAUAAGUAGUGUGAAUUGCAGAAUUCAGUGAAUCAUCGAAUCUUUGAACGCACAUUGCGCCCCUUGGUAUCCCGAGGGGCAUGCCUGUUCGAGCGUCAUUUAACCACUCAAGCCCGGCUUGGUGUUGGGCGACGUCUCCUUUAGGGACGCGUCUCGAAACGCUCGGCGGCGUGGCACCGGCUUUAAGCGUAGCAGAAUCUUUCGCUUUGAAAGUCGGGGCCUCGUCUGCCGGAAGACCUACUCGCAAGGUUGACCUCGGAUCAGGCAGGGAUACCCGCUGAACUUAAGCAUAUCAAU
rnacentral:misc_RNA from 1 species